AUUGAACGCUGGCGGAAUGCUUUACACAUGCAAGUCGAACGGCAGCACGGACUUCGGUCUGGUGGCGAGUGGCGAACGGGUGAGUAACAUAUCGGAACGUAUCCAAUAAUGGGGGAUAACGAGUCGAAAGAUUCGCUAAUACCGCAUACGCCCUACGGGGGAAAGCUGGGGACCUUCGGGCCUGGCGUUAAUGGAGCGGCCGAUAUCUGAUUAGCUAGUUGGUGAGGUAAAGGCUCACCAAGGCGACGAUCAGUAGCUGGUCUGAGAGGACGACCAGCCACACUGGAACUGGUACAAGGUCCAGACUCCUACGGGAGGCAGCAGUGGGGAAUUUUGGACAAUGGGCGCAAGCCUGAUCCAGCCAUUCCGCGUGAGUGAAGAAGGCCUUCGGGUUGUAAAGCUCUUUCGCAAGGGAAGAAAACUUAGCCACUAACAUUGGUUGAGGUUGACGGUACCUUGAUAAGAAGCACCGGCUAACUACGUGCCAGCCGCCGCCGUAA
rnacentral:rRNA from 1 species